UAAGACAGAGGGGGCAAGCGUUGCUCGGAAUUACUGGGCGUAAAGGGCGCGUAGGCGGGAUGGCAAGUCGGUCGUGAAAUCCCUCGGCUCAACUGAGGAUCGUCGAUCGAUACUGCCGUUCUUGAGGAUUGCAGAGGAGACUGGAAUUCCCGGUGUAGCGGUGAAAUGUGUAGAGAUCGGGAGGAACACCGGUGGCGAAGGCGGGUCUCUGGGCAAUUCCUGACGCUGAGGCGCGAAAGCGUGGGGAGCAAACGGGAUUAGAUACCCUGGUAGUCCACGCUGUAAACGAUGGGCACUAGGUGUCCGGGGUAUUGACCCCCUGGGUGCCGCAGCUAACGCAUUAAGUGCCCCGCCUGGGGAGUACGGUCGCAAGAUUA
rnacentral:rRNA from 1 species